AGCAGCAGCCGCGGUAAUACGGAGGGGGCUAGCGUUGUUCGGAAUUACUGGGCGUAAAGCGCACGUAGGCUGCUUUGUAAGUCAGAGGUGAAAGCCCGGGGCUCAACCCCGGAUGCGCCUUUGAGACUGCAGGGCUAGAACGUCGGAGAGGUGAGUGGAAUUCCGAGUGUAGAGGUGAAAUUCGUAGAUAUUCGGAAGAACACCAGUGGCGAAGGCGGCUCACUGGACGACUGUUGACGCUGAGGUGCGAAAGCGUGGGGAGCAAACAGGAUUAGAUACCCGCGUAGUCCCUGUCUCUUAUAC
rnacentral:rRNA from 1 species